AGAAGAUGCUCAUGUAUCUUCUCAGCCCAAACGGUCCCUGGAUAUCGAUUGCUUUUUAUAUAAUCGCUAUCCAUAACUCACG
rnacentral:ncRNA from 1 species